GAUGAACGCUGGCGGCGUGCUUAACACAUGCAAGUCGAACGGAAAGGCACCUACUUGCUGGGGUACUCGAGUGGCGAACGGGGGAGUAACACGUGGGUGAUCUGCCCUGCACUUCGGGAGAAGCCUGGGAAACUGGGCCUAAUACCGGACAGGACACUGGCUUGGAUGCCAUUGAGGAAAGUUUUUUUCGUGUGGGAUGAGCUCGCGGCCUAUCCGCUUGUUGGUGGGGGAAUGGCCUACGAAGGCGUCGGCGGGUAGCCGGCCUGGGAGGGUGUACGGCCGCCUUGGGACUGCGGUACGGCGCAGUCUCCUAUGGGAGGCAGCAGUGGGGAACAUUGCACAAUGGGAGCGCGUCUGAUGCAGAGGCCCCGGGUGGGGGAUGACGGCCUUCGGGGUGUAAACACCUUUCGCUAGGGACGAAGCGGUAGUGACGGUACCUGGAGAAGAAGCACCGGCUAACUACGUG
rnacentral:rRNA from 1 species